UUUCAGUUCAGUGGGCUGUCUGCAUGAAGAUAUUUAAUUACCCUAUUUUGGGUCCUAGUCACUGUCUGGUGUGCCAAGGUGACACCCAACAGGUUCUGGAAGCAUGAAGAAGGGCAGUAACAUGGAGAGGCAAAAACAAAACUUCACUUGGAAGUUCCACGUGGCUUCCGUGUAGGGAAGGAAGAAGGCAAGGAAGUGCCUCCAAACUCCUCCAGGCAGGAAGUCUGGAGAGGAGGUUACAGGUGAAGCGAUGCUCCGCUGUGGACCAGGAAGGCCUUCAAGCUCCCCCUCUGCUUAGCUAAACUUCAGAAUUAAAUACUUGGCAUCCGUUCCCGACAGACAUUUCUAAAAUACUCUUCAAAGGCAAGGCCAUGAGGGAGCCUGGGUUUUCAGAUCGGUGUGUUUCUGAUUUAUCACAGGAGCGGGCAGAUGUGGCAAAAAAGGAGAAAGAGGCUUGGCAAUCCCCGUGCUGAGAGGAGUUUCACUGUUGAGACUGAACCAGCAGACAGAAGGCGAGGCACCCUCACAAGCAAUGCCCACGUCAACUCUCUUCCCCAGGCACAGUGUGUCUACACUUUUCAUCUCAUGAGCCAUAUAAACAAAAGGAAACCGGAGCCAGGAAGAGGGAGGUGACCUGCAUGAACUGUCCUGAGUCCAGCUGGACGCUAACUUCAUUCCAGAUUAUGACUUUGAGGAUCUUCCACUUCCACGGUGGUAGCUUUGGGGCACUCGCUAGAGAAUUCCAAGGUUACACUUGGCCAGGCUACUCUGCAGAACUCUGCAGCCCAUAAAGUAGACUUGGAGGAAAAGCAUCUUUGUUUUCUGGCACAGCCUAGAUGACUGUCAGCAUAGGAGACUUUCUACCUCGACCGAAUUUGGAAAAUAAGCCCGAGAAGCCUUGAAGGCAGGGCAAGAUGAGGCAGGUCCCAGCAGCUCUGUGCCUGGAGGUGGGGGCUAGGGUGGGUGGAACGGCCAAGGCAGGACUGAGCCCGUUCUGGCCCAGUGUGGGCCCAGCGCCAUACCUGCAGGAGGCUGGUUCCUUGUGCAGAAUUACCAAAUGCUACAAAUAGGGGAACACUGCAGAUGAAAGUGUGACGGGUUUAUUAGUAAUCACACCAUUCGGGGCACUAAAACUUCAAAAUCCUCUUCCUGACAAAGUCGUGCUAAUCCUUACAACACCCCCACUGAGCUGGGGAAGCAAACAGGAUUCAUUAUUCCCAUUUUAGGGAGAGCAGAGAGAGGUAAAGGAAAUGGCAACCCACUCUGGUAUUCUUGCCUGGAGAAUCCCAGGGAUGGGGAAGCCUGGUGGGCUGCCGUCUAUGGGGUCACACAGAGUCAGACAUGACUGAAGCGACUUAGCAGUAGCAGCAGUAGCAGAGAGAGGUAAGGAGCUCUACGCAGGGUCAUAGGAAGGUGAGCAUCACUGGAGUCCGGAUGACCAAGUCCAGCUUCAGAACAACAUGCUGCCCAGCUCUACUGACUCAUGCUGGGAGGGUCAGCUAAGGAGUCUCUCAUUACUCAGAAUGGAACUGGUGAUUAGAUUUUAUUUAAAAUAAAGGAAGCAGACAUUGUUUUUUGUUGAAACUUUAAUAACAGUAAAUGACAGUAAUUUUGCCAAAUGAGAAAUGUCUGACUUGAGAUGCUGGCAGACUUGCCCAGUAUCAGGAUAUAGAAUGUAUGACUUUGAUGAAUCUCAUCUGGAGCUGGACUCGCAUCACCCAGCCUCCUCCCUGACGGUGGCCUCUACGUGCUACUGCUUCCCCUGGCAGCCUGAAAAGUUUAGGCAUGAGUACUAAAUAAUGCUUGGGCUUCCCAGGUGGCAAUAGUGGUUGCCUGCUAAUGCAGGAGGCAUAAGAGACAUGGGUUCAAUCCCUGGGUCGGGAAGAUCCCCUGCAGGAGGGCAUGGCAACCCACUACAGCAUUGUUGCCUGGAACCUCAAAGAGUUGGACACGACUGAAGAGACUUAGCAUGCACGUGCUGAACAAUGUUUAGUGGUGUUUUUUUUUGUUUUUUAACAAUCUUCCUUUAAAUAAAUUAUAGUAUUUUUCUUAAUAGUUAUCUAUAUUGUGAGAAUUUUUGGAAAAUACAAAGAAGUAAAAAGAAAGUAAGAGAAAUGAGGGAUCUCUUAUUGGUGGAUUAUGAAU
ensembl:lncRNA